CCUACCCUUUGUACGGAAUAACUCGGGGAAACUCGUGCUAAUACCGUAUGUGCCCUUCGGGGAAAGAUUUAUCGCCAAAGGAUGGGCCCGCGUUGGAUUAGCUUGUUGGUGGGGUAACGGCCUACCAAGGCGACGAUCUAUAGCUGGUCUGAGAGGACGAUCAGCCACACUGGGACUGAGACACGGCCCAGACUCCUACGGGAGGCAGCAGUGGGGAAUCUUGCACAAUGGGCGAAAGUGAUGCAGCCAUGCCGCGUGAGUGAAGAAGGCCCUAGGGUUGUAAAGCUCUUUCAGCAGGGAAGAUAAUGACUGUACCUGCAGAAGAAGCCCCGGCUAACUCCGUGCCAGCAGCCGCGGUAAUACGGAGGGGGCUAGCGUUGUUCGGAAUUACUGGGCGUAAAGCGCGCGUAGGGGAUUAGUCAGUUGGGGGUGAAAGCCCGGAGCUCAACUCCGGAAUUGCCUUCAAUACUGCUAGUCUUGAGUCCGAGAGAGGGUGGUGGAAUUCCCAGUGUAGAGGUGAAAUUCGUAGAUAUUGGGAAGAACACCAGUGGCGAAGGGGCCACCUGGCUCGGUACUGACGCUGAGGUGCGAAAGGUGGGGAGCAAACAGGAUUAGAUACCCUGGUAGUCCACGCCGUAAACGAUGAGAGCUAGUCGUCAGGCAGCAUGCUGUUUGGUGACGCAGCUAACGCAUUAAGCUCUCCGCCUGGGGAGUACGAUCGCAAGAUUAAAACUCAAAGGAAUUGACGGGGG
rnacentral:rRNA from 1 species